rnacentral:rRNA from 1 species
GAUUCUGGCUCAGGAUGAACGCUGGCGGCGUGCUUAACACAUGCAAGUCGAACGGGAAUUACAUUUAGCUUGCUAAGUUGUAAUUCUAGUGGCGGACGGGUGAGUAACGCGUGGGUAACCUGCCUUAUACCGGGGGACAACAGUUGGAAACGACUGCUAAUACCGCAUAAGCGCACGGGAAGGCAUCUUUCUGUGUGAAAAAACUCCGGUGGUAUAAGAUGGACCCGCGUCUGAUUAGCCAGUUGGCGGUGUAACGGACCACCAAAGCGACGAUCAGUAGCCGGCCUGAGAGGGCAAACGGCCACAUUGGGACUGAGACACGGCCCAAACUCCUACGGGAGGCAGCAGUGGGGAAUAUUGCACAAUGGAGGAAACUCUGAUGCAGCGACGCCGCGUGAGUGAAGAAGUAUUUCGGUAUGUAAAGCUCUAUCAGCAGGAAAGAAAAUGACGGUACCUGACUAAGAAGCCCCGGCUAACUACGUGCCAGCCGCCGC